AUUGAACGCUGGCGGCAGGCUUAACACAUGCAAGUCGAGCGGAGCGGCGGACGGGUGAGUAAUGCCUAGGAAUCUGCCUGGUAGUGGGGGAUAACGUCCGGAAAAGGGCGCUAAUACCGCAUACUAGCAGAUGAGCCUAGGUCGGAGUGGCUAGUUGGUGGGGUAAAGGCCUACCAAGGCGACGAUCCGUCACUGGUCUGAGAGGAUGAUCAGUCCAACUGCAACUGUGACACGGUCCUACCUCCUACGGGAGGAAGCGGUGGGGAAUAUUGGGAAAUGGGCGAAAGCCUGAUCGAGCCAUGCCGCGUGUGUGAAGAAGGUCUUCGGAUUGUAGAGCACUUUAAGUUGGGAGGCGUUACCAACAGAAUAAGCACCGGCUAACUUCGUGCCAGCAGCCGCGGUAAUAC
rnacentral:rRNA from 1 species